UGAGGAAUAUUGGUCAAUGGACGGAAGUCUGAACCAGCCAAGUAGCGUGCAGGAUGACGGCCCUAUGGGUUGUAAACUGCUUUUGUAUGGGGAUAAAGUUAGGGACGUGUCCCUAUUUGCAUGUACCAUACGAAUAAGGACCGGCUAAUUCCGUGCCAGCAGCCGCGGUAAUACGGAAGGUCCAGGCGUUAUCCGGAUUUAUUGGGUUUAAAGGGAGCGUAGGCUGUUUGUUAAGCGUGUUGUGAAAUGUAAGAGCUCAACUUUUAGAUUGCAGCGCGAACUGGCAGACUUGAGUGCGCACAACGUAGGCGGAAUUCAUGGUGUAGCGGUGAAAUGCUUAGAUAUCAUGACGAACUCCGAUUGCGAAGGCAGCUUACGGGAGCGCAACUGACGCUAAAGCUCGAAGGUGCGGGUAUCGAACAGG
rnacentral:rRNA from 1 species